rnacentral:rRNA from 1 species
GCAAGUCGAACGUGAAGCAGGAGCUUGCUCCUGUGGAAAGUGGCAGACGGGUGAGUAACGCGUGGGAACCUACCCAGGGGUACGGGAUAACUCAGGGAAACUUGUGCUAAUACCGUAUACGUCCUCAGGGAGAAAGAUUUAUCGCCCCUGGAUGGGCCCGCGUUGGAUUAGCUUGUUGGUGAGGUAAAAGCUCACCAAGGCGACGAUCCAUAGCUGGUUUGAGAGGAUGAUCAGCCACACUGGGACUGAGACACGGCCCAGACUCCUACGGGAGGCAGCAGUGGGGAAUAUUGGACAAUGGGGGAAACCCUGAUCCAGCCAUGCCGCGUGGGUGAAGAAGGCCUUAGGGUUGUAAACCCCUUUCAGCAGGGAAGAUAAUGACGGUACCUGCAGAAGAAGCUCCGGCUAACUCCGUGCCAGCAGCCGCGGUAAUACGGAGGGAGCUAGCGUUGUUCGGAAUUACUGGGCGUAAAGCGCACGUAGGCGGAUUGGUCAGUUGGAGGUGAAAUCCCAGGGCUCAACCCUGGAACUGCCUUCAAUACUGCCAGUCUAGAGAUCGGAAGAGGUGAGUGGAAUUCCUAGUGUAGAGGUGAAAUUCGUAGAUAUUAGGAGGAACACCA